UACGAAGGGGGCUAGCGUUGCUCGGAAUUACUGGGCGUAAAGGGCGCGUAGGCGGACAGUUAAGUCAGAGGUGAAAGCCCAGGGCUCAACCCUGGAAUAGCCUUUGAUACUGGCUGUCUUGAGUGCGGGAGAGGUGUGUGGAACUCCGAGUGUAGAGGUGAAAUUCGUAGAUAUUCGGAAGAACACCAGUGGCGAAGGCGACACACUGGCCCGUAACUGACGCUGAGGCGCGACAGCGUGGGGAGCAAACAGG
rnacentral:rRNA from 1 species